CGAACGCUGGCGGCGUGCUUAACACAUGCAAGUCGAACGGAAAGGCCCUUCGGGGUACUCGAGUGGCGAACGGGUGAGUAACACGUGGGUGAUCUGCCCUGCACUUUGGGAUAAGCCUGGGAAACUGGGUCUAAUACCGAAUAUGACCAUGCACUUCCUGGUGUGUGGUGGAAAGCUUUUGCGGUGUGGGAUGGGCCCGCGGCCUAUCAGCUUGUUGGUGGGGUAAUGGCCUACCAAGGCGACGACGGGUAGCCGGCCUGAGAGGUGACCGGCCACACUGGGACUGAGAUACGGCCCAGACUCCUACGGGAGGCAGCAGUGGGGAAUAUUGCACAAUGGGCGCAAGCCUGAUGCAGCGACGCCGCGUGAGGGAUGACGGCCUCGGUUGGUAACUACUUUCUAGCACAGACGAAG
rnacentral:rRNA from 1 species